UGGCGGCGUGGAGCAGUGGCAGCUCGUCGGGCUCAUAACCCGAAGGUCCCAAGUUCGAAUCUUGGCGCCGCAA
rnacentral:tRNA from 1 species